rnacentral:lncRNA from 1 species
AAAGAUAGCACAUAACAUAUAAUUUAUCCAUAUAUUGUUCAUAUGUGUGUAGAUAUAAGUCCAUAUAUCUAGAUAUAAAUCCAUAUAUCUUACAAAAGGCACAUAGGAUUUUUUUAUAGGAAUUAUUUCAAAUAGAAUCUGGCUUAUUUUUUGUGAAAACUUAAAUUUAAGUUGUAUUUACUUUUGUAAAAUAUUUCACCUUGAUUUUACGAAAUACUUUUUCGAAACAAAUGACUACUGAAGAUAUUCAAAAGGAAGCUUAAUCUUUUUUCUUAGAACUAGAAUUCAAGGACGAUCUAUGCAGUUGGUAAAAUAAUAGAAAAUCGUAGUUCAAAUUCUAACAAAAACAAAAGAUUAAUGCUAGAUGAUCUUUCCUAUUUGCCUUAGGCAAAAUUGACCAAUAUAUAUGCUAGUGGAAGAUAUCAUAUAUCUAAUAACAUAAUCAAAGGGAGGAGGACUAGUUCGAACAGCACUGCCAUAAAAAUUUCUGAAAUAAAAGAGGCACUUUACUGAGUAUUAUAACUAUACUUCGUAGUUGGUCAAAUAAGGUUGGGGGUAAAUGGCCGUUUGGACAUAAAGAAUUGUAAAAUUCAGAAAAAAAAGAAAAAAAUUUAAGAGAAAAUUUCACUUUUAACCCAUUAAAUUCAAACUAUUUACUCUUAAAUAUUCAUACCUAAACUAUUUACUUUUCUUACCUAUGCAGAAAUACUAUUUACCUGCCCACAUUAGAAUACCUACGCAUCGAAUUACUGCUCUCGCUCGCAAUUUGUAUUGGGUUUAUAUUGAGAUCUAAUCCUUCUCUCGCUCAUUUUGCUGGUCGCUCCUCUUAAUCCUCUCUAUAUCUCUCUCUAUCUAUCUAUGUACUUUCUCUCUCUAGAUGCUAUUAGACCUUCAAUAGCUUCUCCUCUCGGCCUUAUGAUGAUUCUACAAUCUGAAGGUUCAAACUUUAUUUUUUAAUAUGUUUUUGACCGUUCCUAUUUCGUUUAUUGGUUUUUGUUGCUUUUUUAGACCUUAAAUUUGUUUUUCGUUUUAUUGGGAUUCUUUACUAGAUCGGUUGUUCUUCCGCUUCUCCGACAUUUGGAAGUUUUUAUUUAUUUGUUUAGUUUAUAUAUUUAUUUUGGAGAACAAGAGUAACAUUUGUUAAUCAAAUAGUAAUCUCUUAUUUAUAUACGUUUUUGAGUUUUUUGCUAAUCCAAUAUGCAAUAUAAAAAUCUCUCUUGAAUAGAGAUUACUAUUUGAUUUCUUAUUGAAAUAAUUGACAUAAUUAAGCAUGAAAAUUACUAGUGGUAUAACAGUAUACCUUUAUAAUUUUGGUCCUUUUUAAAUUUAUUGAAUUUUUUUACUGGAAUGUUUUUAAAUGUUUAAUGGAGUAUUUACGCCUUUUUCAAAUUUUUAUUAAACACAAAUAUUUACUUUCAAAUGUUGAAUGAAGGUUGUGGCUAAAGUUGAGCAAAUUUGAUGGAGUUUCCAAAUUAAAGUUGUAAAAUUUGGGUUGAAGUUGAGUUGAACUUACGAAAAAAAAUGAAUUUGUACUAUAUACCAAAAAUAGUAUAUAUGUAUACCAAUUUAGUAUCAUAGAGGACUGAGCUCUUUUUUGAAGGAAUGAAUCAUACCUAUAUCAUAUCAGUAAUGAUAUAUACCAUAUGUGUAUAUCAUAAAGGACUGUCGAGUAUUCUUUUUUGUUAAAGGAAUGAACCAGUUCUCCAUGAUACUCUGUUAGUAUAUGAAUAUACUAAGCUGGUAUCUUUUUCAUUGGAACCUUUUUCAAUAUCUCAGUAGAGUUUUCACGUUUUUUCCUUUUUUCUGAAAUAAAAAUACUUAUUUUGAAAUGUUCAAUGAAGACUGUGGCGAGCUAAUUUGGUGGAGAUUUUGCACUAGAGCUGUGAAGUUUGGCUUGAAAUGAUGUUGAGUUAGCGAAGUAGAUGAAUUUGUAUUAUAUACAAAAAGAGAAUAUCUCACUUUAUACCCAUUAAAUUCAAACUAUUGACGGACCUUGAAGCUUGAAACUCAUAACUUGGUUUGUUUAUGUUUUUAAUUGUUGUAAUCUGAUCCUGUAUGGGUUAGUUUGGAAGAUGAUUGGAGGUUGUAGCUAAAGUUUUAGUUAAUUUGGUGGAGAUUUUGUAGUAAAUUUUAGAAAUUUGGGUUGAAAUAUAGUUGAACAAGAGAAGAAGACGAAUUUGUAUUGUAUACCCAUAUAGUAUACAAAUAUACC